rnacentral:lncRNA from 1 species
GCCACUGUGGGCAUCCAGUGCGUGCUCCCGGGGAGGAAAAUGGAGGCUGUGAUCACAGCAGAGUAAUGGCAGUGGGUUCUUUCAAAUGUACCUGCUGGGGGAAAAUAAGAAUCAUAUAUGAAGAAAGUAAAGAUUUCCAGGAAGAAGUAACAUCAUCAUCAUGAAUUAUCAAAAUGUUCCACUUCUGGAAAAUGCUGAGCCUGGACUUCAGUCAUUUUCCAAAACAAAAGGGGAUGAGAAAUGUGCAGCAGAACCCCUUGAAAGCCAACUCAAUGUUGAUGACUAUAUGAAAAUACAGAGCAUUUUUGAGGCGAGGAUGUUCUGACAGGCUAGCAACCAUCUCAUCAACGUGUUCAUUAUAAACAUGCUUGGUGGCCAGGGGAAAUUGAGGUAAGUACGACAAAAUCGGAAUACAAGGAAGAGUCAUGUU